rnacentral:lncRNA from 1 species
UAAGAAGCUACCAGGCUGCUUAUGGACGCAGGUUCCAGUUGUUCUGUGCCUUCUUCAGCACUUGGUAUUGUCAGCUUUACUGAUUAAGUCAUUCGGGAGAAACGGGGAGUUGUUUCACUCAUAGAGUUUCAGUUUUGCAAAAUGAAAGGAGUUGUGGAGAUGGAUGGUGGUGAUGACUGCACAACCAUGUGUGUUAAUGCCCUGGGCUGCACGGUUAAGAAUGGUUCAGAUGAUCGCUUUUAUG